CCCGGCGACCGGCGCACGGGUGAGUAACGCGUAUGCAACUUACCUAUCAGAGGGGGAUAACCCGGCGAAAGUCGGACUAAUACCGCAUGAAGCAGGGGCCCCGCAUGGGGAUAUUUGCUAAAGAUUCAUCGCUGAUAGAUAGGCAUGCGUUCCAUUAGGCAGUUGGCGGGGUAACGGCCCACCAAACCGACGAUGGAUAGGGGUUCUGAGAGGAAGGUCCCCACAUUGGUACUGAGACACGGACCAAACUCCUACGGGAGGCAGCAG
rnacentral:rRNA from 1 species